rnacentral:misc_RNA from 1 species
AAGGAAAACAAGGCUCCUAAAUGGGGCCAAUACGAUGGAUGUUCUGCAUUCAUCAGCAGACUUAUGCGCUUACUCUCUUCAAACACAGAAUGGUUCUUCGAACUUUCGAAGAACACACAAGAUUAGAUGUUCAGCUUUGAAGGUUGAUCUUUCGGCCUAGCCGAAGGGCUCACCUUUUAAUGCACUCCAGAUAGGAAGGCGUAUUGAAACUUUGAUAGCUUAUCAGUCUGGGGAAAUGGAUGUUUCACGACAGUGAAACUCCCAGAUGGUCGCUUGACGACCAUCCAUGUACCUUGAAAACUGCACAAUAUGAAUAAGGGUUAGUCUUUUUGAUGGCCAAAAAGCCUUUAGCAGAAUUUCGAUGGCAUAGCCAUCGUUGAAUGCACUGCAUUCAAUCCAAAUUCUGCACUGGUUUGGAGGAAUGUCAAAGAGAUUGCUCACAAUUUCGAUAAUCACCUUUUGGUGAUGCGAGAGGUUUUGAGCGCUAACCUUUAGGAUUUCUCAAAAAAGAAAUAAAUCCAAGGUGAUUUGCAAAGCAAAUCAACA